AUUGCCCCAGUAACGGCGAGUGAAGCGGCAACAGCUCAAAUUUGAAAUCUGGCCCCCAGGGCCCGAGUUGUAAUUUGCAGAGGAUGCUUUUGGCGAGGUGCCUUCCGAGUUCCCUGGAACGGGACGCCAUAGAGGGUGAGAGCCCCGUCUGGUUGGACGCCGAGCCUCUGUAAAGCUCCUUCGACGAGUCGAGUAGUUUGGGAAUGCUGCUCUAAAUGGGAGGUAUAUGUCUUCUAAAGCUAAAUACCGGCCAGAGACCGAUAGCGCACAAGUAGAGUGAUCGAAAGAUGAAAAGCACUUUGAAAAGAGGGUUAAACAGUACGUGAAAUUGUUGAAAGGGAAGCGCUUGUGACCAGACUUGGGCUCGGUGAAUCAUCCAGCGUUCUCGCUGGUGCACUUUGCCGGGCUCAGGCCAGCAUCAGUUUGCCCUGGGGGACAAAGGCUCUGGGAAUGUGGCUCCCUCGGGAGUGUUAUAGCCCACUGCGCAAUACCCUGGGGCGGACUGAGGUUCGCGCAUCUGCAAGGAUGCUGGCGUAAUGGUCAUCAGCGACCCGUCUUGAAACACGGACCAAGGAGUCGUCUUCGUAUGCGAGUGUUCGGGUGUAAAACCCCUACGCGUAAUGAAAGUGAACGCAGGUGAGAGCUUCGGCGCAUCAUCGACCGAUCCUGAUGUUCUCGGAUGGAUUUGAGUAAGAGCAUACGGGGCCGGACCCGAAAGAAGGUGAACUAUGCCUGUAUAGGGUGAAGCCAGAGGAAACUCUGGUGGAGGCUCGCAGCGGUUCUGACGUGCAAAUCGAUCGUCAAAUAUGGGCAUG
rnacentral:rRNA from 1 species